rnacentral:tRNA from 4 species
GGGCGCUUAGCUCAGUUGGUAGAGCAGCUGACUCUUAAUCAGCGGGUCACAGGUUCGAAUCCUGUAGCGCCCACCA